CCCUUAGAUGUUCUGGGCCGCACGCGCGCUACACUGACGAAGUCAGCGAGCAUGUCCUACGCCGACAGGUGCGGGGAAUCUUGUCAAACUUCGUCGUGAUGGGGAUUGAUUAUUGAAAUUCUUGAUCAUCAACGAGGAAUUCCUAGUAAGCGCAAGUCAGCAGCUUGCGUUGAUUACGUCCCUGCCCUUUGUACACACCGCCCGUCGCUCCUACCGAUUGAGCGGUCCGGUGAAGACUCAGGAGAUGGGCGCGUGCUUGGUUCGCCAACUGCGCUGCCUGCCAAAUUUGUCUAAACCUUAUCGCUUAGAGGAAGGAGAAGUCGUAACA
rnacentral:rRNA from 1 species